GACGUAGGGGGCCAGCGUUGCUCGGAAUUACUGGGCGUAAAGGGUUCGUAGGCGGUGCGGUAUGUCGGGAGUGAAAUCUCUGGGCUUAACCUGGGAAUGGCAUUUGGGACUGCAAGGCUGGAGUGCGGCAGAGGAGACUGGAAUUCCUGGUGUAGCAGUGAAAUGCGUAGAUAUCAGGAGGAAUACCGAUGGCGAAGGCAGGUCUCUGGGCUGACACUGACGCUCAUGCACGAAAGCGUGGGGAGCAAACAGG
rnacentral:rRNA from 1 species